CACGGCGCAUGCGCGGGCCGGCGGGGCUGCGGGUUGCAGCGCUCUGCGGAGCCCGCCCGGGACGCCGGGGACGUCCCCUGCCCACCGAGGCCGUCGCCGCGGGCUCGGGCGGUGCGCGCUGGCGGCGUGGGAGGCCUGCGUACCCUGCUCCGAUCCCUGGGGACCGUGCGACCUUCUCGGUGCCUCAGUUUCCCCCCAGAGUGGCUGGCAGCGGUGCUCCCGGGGGCCCCUGCCCGGCGGUUGCGGGACGCGCGCCCCCCGGUGGCCGACUCACGCACUGCGGGGGCUUUCUCCCGCGGUCCCCCGCGUGGGGCACUCAGGAUCCUGCCCGGCAGCCGGGCGCCGCACACACCGCCAUCUCCAGCGCUGGGGGCGCGAGCAGCCCGUGGGAAGGGGCCGGGAGGGUAGAGCGGGGACGGGGUGCACCCCGCAGGGCGACGGCUCCGCACAGAUGAGCCUGCAGAGGUCCGGAGAGGACCAGGCCUCCGCCCGAGGUCGCACAGGCGCCAGUGCCGAGGAAGCCGCCUCCGCUGCUGUGCCACCCAUUUCACGGCCGGGCACACGGAGGCCUGGUUCAGCUGUGGGAGGGAGGGAGGGGCUGGAGCUCAGGCGACCUGCCCUGCACGCACAGCUGGCGCUGGGGACUCUCUAGCCCUACUCCAGGCUGGCUCGUGGGAGACAUCCCGACCCUACCCACAAACGCCACCAGGCCUUCCCCGACUCCAGGGAAAGACCCGGAGUAGCACACUGCAAGGUAAACUGAGGCAGGGUUGGGUGCACAGAGAUGAGGUCUUCCUUGAGAACUGGGACCCGCACACACCCAGGGGCUUCCUAGCCCACCAGGGGUUUUACAGCCCUGCAUGGGGGCCAGAGCCCCACACUUUAGUUGGGGGUGUCCCGCCGUGUGACCUGCUGUCACAGGCCCGGGAUGGGACACAAUCCAAGCAUGGACCUCACCCAGGAACGGUGGGCGUCCCUGUGGGAACCCCAUCUCGGGAGCCCCUAUGGAUUUGUUUGUUUUUCCAGACAGGGUUUCCCUGUAUUGUUUUGGAGGCUGUCCUGGAACUCUGUAGACCAGGCUGGCCUCGAACUCACAGAGAUCCGCCUGCCUCUGCCUCCUGAGUGCUGGGAUUAAAGGUGUGUGCCACCAACGCCCGCUUUGUUUUUUGUGACAGUCUAUUGCAGCCCAGGAUAGGCUCAAACUACCAUGAACUGCCUGCCUGCCCCAGGCUCCCCUGCUGCGAUGACAGAUUACAACGGGGUUCCCAUGUGCUGAGACAGGGUCCAGUCAUGUAACUCCUGGCAAUCCUCCUGCCUCGGCUUCCUGAGAGUCUACUGCUUACCCAGAAGCAACCCCUGCUGUCCUCACAGCUCGGACACCACUUCGUACGCGAUGCUUUGCGCCUGCAGAGAUGGAGAGACUGACCGAGUGACAAAGGCAGGACCAAGGGAGGGCUAAGGACUCCAGUGGCCACCAUGAAGAUCAAAAGAGCACGGCACAGGAACAGUUUCUGUGAAAGGAGCAAGCCAGGCAUGUGACUAUGGCCUUGGUCAGCAGGGGGCGCCGGAGGUGCGCAGGAACCGCUGCAGGCGCCGCACUUACCGCCAGGGGGCGUGCGAACACCACCAGCUCAGCGGCAGGGCACUGAAGACUGACCCAGCCACCCACCGGCCUCUGGGCUGCCUCACUGUUUGCCCAGGCUGUACCUCACCUGUCCCCACUCCUAAAGAAACCAGGAUGUAACAUUUAAAGAAACCCAUAACUGCAACUUUCA